UUCUCAGAACAAUAAACACACUCGCACAAAAAAAAAGGCUGAUUAUGGAUUUCGUAGUCAUCACACCUGUAUUGAUUCUCGGUGUCUUUUGAUGUGUUGGAAGAAGAUAAUGCGGACUGUAUCAGACAGGAUGUCCUUCGUCUCCGUGUUAUUUGUGUCGACGUCCGUGAUGGAGGGCUUCCAUUGAGGCUUUGACACAAGAUCCUGACAGCCACAGCGAUCGGUGCAUUGAUCUAAUCAUUAACAAGAGACUCUCAGAGAAAGAACGAGAGAGACGUCGUAGACAACGCUUAUCUUUCUACUGUGGAGAGGCAGGCCAUCGUAGUCUGGGAUGUCCGCACAAAUCUCAAGUCAACCCCAGGCGAUGAUUGACUCUGGUGCCGCUUUGAAUUUAAUUAGUAAAGACAUUGUCACUAAAUAUAACAUCCCUACUCAACCAUGCGACCCUCCAAUUAAGAUUAAAACCAUUGAUGACAACCCUAUUGGGGAAGGGAUAACCCAUCAAACCAAAACUCUUGUUUUCAAAGUAGGACUGCUACAUCAAGAGUCUAUCACACUAUACAUUGUAGACUCACCCAAGCAGGAGAUCAUCCUAGGUUUUCCCGGGCUCUCUGCUCAUGACCCUGUCAUCUCUUGGCAUCAUGGUGAACUCACACAUGGGUCCUCUUUCUGCCUAAAGAACUGUUUUCCCACAAUCCCAAAACCAUGUCUAUCCACGAGUAUAGAAAGCCCAAGGACCAACACCACCAUGAACAUUCCCACAUGUUACAACGACCUCUCUGAAGUGUUCAGUAAAACCAAAGCCACACAAUUACCACCACACCGGUCCUGGGAUUGUGCCAUUGAUCUGCUUCCCAAUGCUAUGCUCCCUAAAAGUAAGAUUUAUCCAUUGUCCAGGAAUGAAAGUCAAGCCAUGGAAGAGUAUGUUGAGGAGGCAUUAAACUCUGGUUUCAUUCGCACAUCCACAUCACCCGCUGCUGCAGGAUUUUUUUUGUUGAGAAAAAGGACGGAGGACUUCGACCAUGUAUUGAUUACAGAAAACUCAACAACGUCACUGUGAAAUUUCGUUACCCACUGCCCUUAGUUCCUUCAGCCCUCGAACAGUUAUGAGAAGCCACUAUCUACACUAAACUAGACUUAAGAAGUGCAUAUAAUCUGAUUUGAAUUAAGGAAGGUGAUGAAUGGGAAAACAGCUUUUAUCACUGAGCCACCCACCCAUUCCAAGUUAUCACAGAUCACAAGAACCUAGAAUACGUGAAGAGUGCUAAACGUUUAAAUCCACGCCAAGCCAGGUGGUCAUUGUUCUUCAGUCGUUUCCAAUUCACCGUAACGUACAGACCAGGCAGCAAGAACAGCAAAGCAGAUGCUCUGUCCAGGCAAUAUGAUUCCAUUCACAAACACCAUACAUCAGAACCUAUCCUUCCUCCAUCUGUCAUCUUAGCUCCGAUAUCCUGGGACAUUAUGGAAGAGUUACAACGUGAACAACAGAAUGAACCUUCCCUUGCCCAAUGCCCCCCCAACAAACACUAUGUGCCUCAAUGUUUACGACAACGUAUCAUGCAGUGGACCCACACAUCUCUCAGUGCCAGUCACCCUGGAAUUUCCCGUACCAUCAAGCUAGUCCAAAAUUCCUUUUGGUGGCCAGCAAUGACAAAAGAGAUUAUGACCUACGUGAAGUCAUGCCAAGUCUGUGCCCAGUCUAAAACCCCUAAGGAACUACCUUCAGGCCUUCUACAACCUUUACCCAUUCCUCAACGCCCAUGGUCUCAUCUGUCCAUAGACUUUGUCACCGAUCUUCCCCCAUCAGAGAACUUUACUACUAUUCUAGAAACCAUUGAUCGCUUCUGAAAGUCCUGCCACCUUGUACCAUUAAAAAGAUUACCCACCGCCAUGGAAACAGUUCAAGCUUUAUUCCAUAAUGUAUUCAGAGUUUAUGGUCUUCCAGAAGACAUCGUCAGCGAUCGGGGAACUCAAUUUACUUCUCAAGUCUGGAGAGCUUUUUGCAAACAGCUCGAUAUCAAUGUGAGCCUUACUUCAGGAUAUCACCCUCAAGCCAAUGGCCAAGUAGAACGUCUGAAUCAGGAGAUUGGCAGAUAUCUAAGAACUUAUUGCAGUCGAGAGCAACAUAGAUGGUCAGAGUUUCUCCCGUGGGCUGAGUACGCUCAGCAUUCCCUUACCCACUCUUCAACUGGCAUCACCCCCUUCCAAUGUGUCCUAGGAUUUCAACCUCCCUUAUUCCCGUGGUCUGGCGAACCCUCUUCAGUACCAUCUGUGGAGGAUUGGAUUCUUCGUAGUGAGAGGGUGUGGGACAGUGCCCACAUCCGUCUGCAGCGAGCCAUAAGGAGACAAGAACUUCAGGCCAACAAGCGGCAUCAUCCACAUCCUCCCUACCAACCAGGGCAAUGGGUCUGGCUCUCGACGAGGGACAUCAAACUUCGACUACCCAGCAAGAAGCUUAGUCCAAGGUAUGUUGGGCCACUUAAAAUUCUUGAGAAUUAAUGGUCACAUACAAAUUGGCGCUUCCUACUAAUUACCGUAUUUCUCCCUCCUUCCAUGUCUCCCUCUUGAAACCGGUCCACCUGGAUGCUGACCCCGGCCACGAGGCCCCAGAACCACCACCACCAUUAGAUAUAGACGGGGCCCCGCCUAUCAGGUGAAAGAGUUGCUGGACUCAAGACGAAGAGGGGGUGAGAUCCAAUAUUUGGUGGACUGGGAGGGUUAUGGACCCGAGGAGAGAUCAUGGGUGAACACCCGCGAUAUUCUGGACCCUUCCCUUAUCGAGGACUUUCAUCAAGCCAGACCCGAUUGCCCAGCACCAUGAGGACGUUCACAUCGAGCUCCAGGAGUCGCUCAUAGGGAGGGGGAUUCUGUAACGCCCAGCCAGCAGAGGGAGCUGUCACCCGAGUACUGACUCCGUUCCACCCCUCUGCUGCCUCUGCAUUCACUUCCUGUUUGGUGACUAUUUAGUCUGGGACCACAUGGGAUCUCAUUGCGAAGUAUUGCCAGUAUAUCUGCCUUACCAAGCGUAUCCCUGUAUUCUCUGCCUGUUUUGUGUGUAUGAUUCUGCCUGGAUAUCUAUUCUCUGAUUACCCCUUUGUUUUGGUUGCAUGGUUGGACUGAUAUUUCUGGAUUUGACUCACUGCCUGCUUAAUCACCUUUGCCUUUGGAUUAACCUCAUGUUUGUUGUACGUCGGACAGUCAUCUUGGUAUUGACCCUUUGCCUGUCUACUCAACUCUGUUUAUGCUACUCAUCUAAUAAACUACCGCACAUGGAUUCUAA